AAAACAACUCUCAGCAACGGAUAUCUUGGCUCUUGCAACGAUGAAGAACGCAGCGAAAUGCGAUACGUAGUGUGAAUUGCAGAAUUCCGCGAAUCAUCGAGUCUUUGAACGCAAGUUGCGCCCGAGGCUUGUCCGAGGGCAUUUCCGCUAGAGAGUCACC
rnacentral:rRNA from 1 species